AACAGGUGACUAUUUACAAAGAUUCUGUAUAUGAAGACUUUGGCUUUAGUGUUUCUGAUGGUCUCUAUGAGCGAGGCGUUUUUAUAAAUCGAAUACGAAAAGGGGGUCCAGCGGAUGUGACUGGAGUUCUUCAACCCUAUGAUAGAAUUCUGCAGGUGAAUGAAACAAGGACCCAUGAUUUUGAUUGCUGUCUGACAGUUCCACUUAUUGCAGCCGCGGGGGACCGUAUUCAGCUUAUAGUUGCUAGGCAUAAGGUUUGAGUUAAAAUUGAUCUCUUAUCUAUACCUCCAAUUUAGCACAUUGGCUGUGGCACCAGUUAGAUAUGCUCAAGCCACACAAGCACAAUUUAUCAAGUGCCACCACAAACUAGAUACACCACAGUCAAUGUGUUAAAUCUUUCUAACAAAUGACAUUUAAAUAAUUCUUUUACUUUGUUAACAGGACUCUGCUUACCAACUACCUCUUGAUGAUUCAUAUCUUGAAUCAAGCACAGUCACUCAAACAAUAUGAUGCACAUUAUCUGUUCAAAUAAAUUACUUUACAUUAGAA